rnacentral:rRNA from 1 species
UAAUUAAGCGGAGGAAAAGAAACUAACCAGGAUUGACUUAGUAAGGGCGACUGAAGCGUCAAAAGCUCACCAUGUGAAUCUGCACCAAUGUGUCGAAUUGUGGUUUGGAGACUCUUGCAUUACCGGGCCGGGUCAAUUCCCUUGGAACAGGGUAGCUUAGAGGGUGAGACUCCCGUCCACCUGGCCUUGAAAGCAAGUUUCGCGGAGUCGAGUUGUUUGGGAUUGCAGCUCAAAGUGGGUGGUAAAUUCCAUCGAAAGCUAAAUACUGGUGGGAGACCGAUAGCGUACAAGUACCGUGAGGGAAAGAUGCAAAGAACUUUGAAAAGAGAGUUAAAGAGUACCUGAAAUUGCUGAAAAGGAAGCGAAGGAAACCAGUGUCGGCUGUGUCAUACUUCCCUGAUCGCUUGCGGUUAGGGCGCUGUGACCAGCAAAGUCCAGUUUGGUUAGCAAUGUCGGAAGGAUGAUGAGGAGAGAUGUUCCUGAUCAAUCGCGUUGUUGUGAAGUGAGUUGGACGAAAUGGUUUUCUUUUCCCCGUCUAGAAACACGGACCAAGGAGUCUAACAUAUGUGCGAGUACAGAGAUGUCAAAUCUCGGUGCGCAAUGAAAGUGACAGUGGCUGGAAAUUAUUGCACAGUCCGCCGGCCUCAAUCCCUCGGGAGAACGGUCUGAGUGUGAGCAUACAUGUUGGGACCCGAAAGAUGGUGAACUAUGCUUGAGUAGGGUGAAGCCAGGGGAAACUCUGGUGGAGGCUCGUAGCGAUUCUGACGUGCAAAUCGAUCGUCAAACUUGAGUAUAGGGGCGAAAGACUAAUCGAACUAUCUAGUAGCUGGUUCCCUCCGAAAUUUCCCUUAGGAUAGCUGCGAUCGGAUACCAAUUUUGUCAGGUAAAG